rnacentral:rRNA from 1 species
GUGUCAGCAGCCGCGGUAACACGGGGGGAGCAAGCGUUGUUCGGAAUUACUGGGCGUAAAGGGCGUGUAGGCGGUCAGGUAAGUGGGAUGUGAAAUCCUCCGGCUCACCCGGAGACCUGCAUCCCAAACUGCCUGGCUUGAGUAUGGGAGAGGAUGAGGGAAUUCCUGGUGUAGCGGUGAAAUGCGUAGAUAUCAGGAGGAACACCGGUGGCGAAAGCGCUCAUCUGGCCCAAUACUGACGCUGAGGCGCGAAAGCUAGGGGAGCAAACGGGAUUAGAAACCCUAGUAGUCC